UACGUAGGUGGCAAGCGUUGUUCGGAAUUAUUGGGCGUAAAGCGUGCGCAGGCGGUUAUGCAAGACAGAUGUGAAAUCCCCGGGCUCAACCUGGGAACUGCAUUUGUGACUGCAUGGCUGGAGUGCGGCAGAGGGGGAUGGAAUUCCGCGUGUAGCAGUGAAAUGCGUAGAUAUGCGGAGGAACACCGAUGGCGAAGGCAAUCCCCUGGGCCUGCACUGACGCUCAUGCACGAAAGCGUGGGGAGCAAACAGG
rnacentral:rRNA from 1 species